CCAUCCAUUCCCUCCGGUUUCUACUAAGCUCAGACUGUUAGACGGACCUGAAGGCUCAUGUCCUGCAAGAAACGUUUUUUCACGAAACGACCCGAUUUUUCGGCUACCCGGUCUUGUGGCUGGGAUGCUCGUACCCACUACCAACAAUGACGGGUGCGGUGUGGCUAAGAACUUGGACCGUUGCUUCUGAUUCGGAUUUUUCGAACCACGACGGUUACCCCGUGGAGUAUAUUCACUUGGAAGUAUCCGCGAGUACCCGAUUUCAACCGGCGGACCGAGAAUGAAGUAUUGUCUCAGAAAUCCGUUAGGAAGAAGGCGAGAUAGGUACCCAAAAAUCCGGGUACCUGACCCACGCACAGAAACUUGGUUUCAACAUGCUUCUUGGAGCAGUUUUUGCGAGAAAAUUGGAGUAAACAAUAUUGAGAGAGAAAUGGUAAUGGUUUC